GCAUUUCUCCCAGUUACUCCAAAAACCCCGUUAGCGGAAUCUAGAUCCUCCGAUUCCCUAGAACGGUUCUCGGGCAGCCCGACUGGGCAUGCUCAGUAGCCCCGCAGCUUUGGGCUGCAAGUCUGAAGCUCUACCCGCUCCCAGUAGCCGGGUUAGAGAGUGAGCGAGGGAGUCAGGGAGGGGGCAGCUUGCGGCAGAGGCGACCGCGAAGCAUCCCCGGUGCUGGGUGCUGCCUCGUAGGUGUGCCCUGGCCGCUGUGCGGCCGAAUAAACCUCCUCUGGCGUGUGCGGGUCGGACUCCAUGAAGCCAGCCCGAGGGCUCGGGAGCCAGCCGGUCGGCCCCUGCUAUGGCUGGGGGAGAAGAGGCUGAGGUUGCAGGGAGCCAGCCCGCCUUGGCUGCAACUGCAGAAAGAUCUUCAAGGAAGAAGCUUGAUAACCCCUAAAUCCAGAGAACAAACUGUUGCAGAAAGAUGCCAGAAAAAGCUACACUACAUCAAGAAGAUCAAGAAUGAACUUUGGGUGUGGUUAAUUGAACUGAAGUUUGAAUGAACAUUUAUUGUAAAUGUACACUUUUAUGCCAAAGGGGACUGCCCCUAAUUUGGCUUUUUGUCAAUGCACCUAGCAAAACAUUGGUUUUGCAUUCUCUUUUUUCUAUUCCUCCCUAUUUUAAUUUCCUCUUAGAAAUUGAAUAUUGUAUACAUCUGUAUUUGGAAGUGUUUUAGGACUAUAAGAUGAUUAUGUUAAAUGACCAAUGGGGAGAUUAGAUUCCCAAUCAUCAUCAGGGGCAAUUGUGAAUUUUAAAACUACUCCACCCUACUCGGACCGUACUUUAGAAUAUUUGAUUUAGUUAUUUCCUGAUUUGUAACAAUGUAGAUACUUGGUCUAACAGAAUCAAGUCUUGGGAACUCUACAUUGCUCCACCCUACUUAGUUUAACAAGAUCAGGAAUGUCUGCACCCAUACUCAAGGAUUAGGUAUCUAAGAAGAUGGCCUUCAAUAGACAUGUUCAUAAACAGCUGACAGACCCCUGGGCUGUCCUAAGUCAAGCUAAGCUAACAUUCGUACAGAUGAGACUCAGGAAAGUGAGGUAAAACCAUCUAUAUAAGGCACAUGGCUUCCUCUCUUCACUCGUUUUCCCUGGAGAGGUGGCUAUGGCUGGCAGUGUACUCAGCAUUCCGACAUCUUGGCAUGGUGGAAGCUAUUUGUCUUGGUUUUGGUGAUGAGUUUACCCUUAAGCUAAUUCAGGUUCAUGCAUCUUGGCUGAGCCCUCUUGGAGUUCAGGCUGAUUCCUUCAUCCUUUACUUUCCAAAACCUUACCUUCCUAAAGCCUCUAAUCUUCCCCCUAGCACAAGCCAGGUGGGGAAAACCCUACAUGCUUUCCUUCUCCCUUCUUCUUAAUUCCUUUCCACUUUAUUAAUUAAAUCAUCAUAAAUUUCCAGCCGA